UACAAAGCAUGCAACAGUAAGUUUUCUCCAGAAAGCUUCCAAAAAAGGCUCUUUGCAGUUCUGUUCAAGUUCCUGGGCAUUUGUUUGUGCUUUUAUGUUGUUGCUGCAAGCAGUUGGUAGAAACACAUCUAUGAAAUGUUUUUGUCAUUUGCUCAAGUUUUUCAUUCUGUAUAAGUAAAUUCUAAUGCUAUCCAUUAAACCAAACUACAGACUAUUUAACAUUAUCCAUUUCACGCAAAAUUAGAAAAACACACACUAUUAUUGGGAACUUACAUUAGUGCUAGUUUAUUUGUAUUUGCAAAUAAGUAUAAUUUUUAAAAAAGCAAUGUAGGGUUAUUACCUUCAUCCCACCCUUCUUGCAAGUCCGUUAUGACCUAACUCCACCAGCUUAUGCUUCCCCCCAACCUUCUGGCCAAGUAGGCAUUUGAAUUGGGUCUUCCUUGGCCACGGCACUUCCAGACUGUCACUAUUUUGGGUGGGAUUCAACAACAUGCCAGCAACUUCAGGCUGCACAAUUAAAGCUGAUUUGGAGUGCUUGCAAAACGAACCCACUUCACAAAAAGAUCAGACUUUUUGCAAAAAGGAAAGCUAAUAAAUUGUUACAACAAUUGACACACAUCCUGUGCCCUCCUUUUGAAGACAGCUUUCACAUGGGUGAUGUCCCAAGCCUUGGAACUGGGCAAACAGAAAGGGCACUUUUUUGUAGACAUCGGGCAUGCAAGGUCUCUUCAUACCAGUGCUGUCACCUCUGCAUCUUAUAGAUGGAGGCAGAGUUGAAGGCAGUGGCUUGCUGUUAUAUGUAUCCCCUUGUACUUUCCUGGAAGGAGAUGGCUUUACACUGACAUGGGAAGGCAUGCAAGUCAUCUCCACUGGCAGUGACAUAACACUCAGGUACUGAAUGACAUUGGUACUGGAGGAGACUCUUGAGAGUCCCGUGGACUGCAAGAAGAUCAAACCUAUCCAUUCUUAAGGAAAUCAGCCCUGAGUGCUCACUGGAAGGACAGGUCGUGAAGCUGAGGCUCCAAUACUUUGGCCAUCUCAUGAGAAGAGAAGACUCCCUGGAAAAGACCCUGAUGUUGGGAAAGAUUGAGGGCACAAGGAGAAGGGGACGACAGAGGGCGAGAUGGUUGGAUAGUGUUCUCGAAGCUACCAGCAUGAGUUUGACCAAACUGCGGGAGGCAGUGGAAGACAGGAGUGCCCGGCGUGUUCUGGUCCAUGGGGUCAAGAAGAGUCGGACACGACUAAACAACUAAACAACAACUGAAUGACACGGAAGUGGGCUGUUCCUCUGACAACCUGCUUGGAACUUCCCUGAAUCCAGGUCUCCACCUCCUAAUCCACUGGGAACCUCCCUGGGAUUAGACUCUUCCUGGUGUCCAAAAUCCCCAUACCCUAACCUGCUAGGACCUUCCCCCAGGUUGGACUCCUCCAAUUCCCUGAUCUACAGCUCAUCCUCAUCAUCUGACUGCCCUCUCCACAAUGUCUCCAUGGGGCUCAUGACAUGUGCAUGUCAGCUCCAGAAGAUGUCAGGCUAAGCGGAUUAAAAAUGCAGGUCUUUUUUAAACAUUAAUGUGAAAUCUGUAUCUUCAAUGUUUUAAUUGCUUUGACUCUCUGAAGAUUAUGUAACUAUGGUCUCCCUCUAAGUAAUAUAUUAGGCAUAUAUUUUUAAACAGUCAACAACGGAAGUAACUAUCACCAUAGUGUUCAACUAUAAUUCUCGAUUCUCUCUGCAAUGUCUCUGCUGUCGGCCAUAGUCCUUCUAGAUAAUUUGCUUCAAAGGUCUUGUUACCUAAGAUUUGCAGGUCCUCUUAGUUAAGGGUAACAUCCCACCUACAAAGCUUUGGGGAAAGGAAACAUAAAGUAAUAGUAUUUGGAGUUCAUCAGUACCAGUCACAAUGCUGUGUCAACUCUGGCAAUAGCAGCAUAAGC
rnacentral:lncRNA from 1 species